rnacentral:tRNA from 1 species
GCCGGGGUGCCCUAGCCAGAGAGUUGGGCUCGGCAAGGUAGGGGGUCGGACUCGAGAUCCGAUGGCCCGCUGGGCCACGUGGGUUCAAAUCCCACCCCCGGCG